GCCUGAGUGGCUUAGUGGGUUAAAGCCUCUGCUUUCAGCUCAGAUCAUCGUCUCAGAGUCCUGGGAUCGAGCCCCGCAUCAGGCU
rnacentral:tRNA from 1 species